rnacentral:rRNA from 1 species
AGUGAACGCUGGCGGUGGGCCUAACACAUGCAAGUCGAACGGCAGCACAAUAAGAGUUUGCUCUUACGGUUGGCGAGUGGCGGACGGGUAAGAAAUACAUCGGAUUCUACUUUUUCUUGGGGGAUAUCGUAGGGAAACUUACGCUAAUACCGCAUACGGCCUACGGGUUAAAGCAGUGGAUCUUCGGACCUUUGCUGUUUGAAUUAGCCGGUGUCGGAUUAGCUAGUUGGCGAGGUAAGGGCCCACCAAGGCAACGAUCCGUAGCUGGUCUGAGAGGAUGAUCGGCCACACUGGAACUGAGACACGGUCCAGACUCCUACGGGAGGCAGCAGUGGGGAAUAUUGGACAAUGGGCGCAAGCCUGACGCAGCAAUGCCGCGUGAGUGAAGAAGGCCUUCGGAUCGUAAAACCCUGUUAUUAGGAAAGAACACCUGUCUGAGAAAACAUGGAUGGGUUGACGGUACCCAAACAGAAAGCCACGGCUAACUACGUG